AAAAAAAAAAAAAAGGCCUUCUCUUCCUGGAUUUGGGAAAAGCUGGAUUGAGAGGUCAAGAAAAAAAAAAAA
rnacentral:pre_miRNA from 13 species